AUUGAACGCUGGCGGCAUGCCUUACACAUGCAAAGUCGAAACGGCAGCAACGGGGGCAAACCCUGGUGGCGAAGUGGCGAAACGGGUGAGUAAUGCAUCGGAACGUGUCCUCUUGUGGGGGAUAACCAGUCGAAAGACUGGCUAAUACCGCAUGAGAUCGAAAGAUGAAAGCGGGGGACCGCAAGGCCUCGCGCGAGAGGAGCGGCCGAUGCCGGAUUAGCUAGUUGGUGGGGUAAAAGCCCACCAAGGCGACGAUCCGUAGCUGGUCUGAGAGGACGACCAGCCACACUGGGACUGAGACACGGCCCAGACUCCUACGGGAGGCAGCAGUGGGGAAUUUUGGACAAUGGGCGCAAGCCUGAUCCAGCCAUGCCGCGUGUGUGAAGAAGGCCUUCGGGUUGUAAAGCACUUUCGGACGGAACGAAAUCGCGCGGUUGAACAUGCCGCGUGGAUGACGGUACCGUAAGAAGAAGGCACCGGGCUAACUACGUGCCCAGCAGCCGCGGUAA
rnacentral:rRNA from 1 species